CCUACGGGGGACAGCAGUGAGGAAUAUUGGUCAAUGGGCGCUAGCCUGAACCAGCCAAGUAGCGUGAAGGAUGACUGCCCUAUGGGUUGUAAACUUCUUUUAUAUGGGAAUAAAGUGCAGUAUGUAUACUUCUUUGCAUGUACCUUAUGAAUAAGGAUCGGCUAACUCCGUGCCAGCAGCCGCGGUAAUACGGAGGAUCCGAGCGUUAUCCGGAUUUAUUGGGUUUAAAGGGAACGUAGGCGGGUUGUUAAGUCAGUUGUGAAAGUUUGCGGCUCAACCGUAAGAUUGCAGUUGAUACUGGAAGCCUUGAGUACAGUAGAGGUAGGAAGAAUUCGUGGUGUAGCGGUGAAAUGCUUAGAUAUGACGAAGAACUCCGAUGGCGAAGGCAGCCUGCUGGACUGUAACUGACGCUGAUGCGCGAAAGUGUGGGUAUCAAACAGGAUUAGAUACCCUAGUAGUC
rnacentral:rRNA from 1 species